AUUGAACGCUGGCGGCAGGCUUAACACAUGCAAGUCGAGCGGGGUGAUGGUGCUUGCACUAUCACUUAGCGGCGGACGGGUGAGUAAUGCUUAGGAAUCUGCCUAUUAGUGGGGGACAACAUCUCGAAAGGGAUGCUAAUACCGCAUACGUCCUACGGGAGAAAGCAGGGGAUCACUUGUGACCUUGCGCUAAUAGAUGAGCCUAAGUCGGAUUAGCUAGUUGGUGGGGUAAAGGCCUACCAAGGCGACGAUCUGUAGCGGGUCUGAGAGGGUGAUCCGCCACACUGGGACUGGGACACGGCCCAGACUCCUACGGGAGGCAGCAGUGGGGAAUAUUGGACAAUGGGGGGAGCCCUGAUCCAGCCAUGCCGCGUGUGUGAAGAAGGCCUUAUGGUUGUAAAGCACUUUAAGCGAGGAGGAGGCUCUUUUGGUUAAUACCCAGAAUGAGUGGACGUUACUCGCAGAAUAAGCACCGGCUAACUCUGUGCCAGCCGCCGCCGUAA
rnacentral:rRNA from 1 species